GACGAACGCUGGCGGCGCGCUUAACACAUGCAAGUCGAACGGAAAGGCCUGCUUUCCCUUGUGGAUUGCGGGUACUCGAGUGGCGAACGGGUGAGUAACACGUGAGUGAUCUGCCCCCAACUUGGGUAUAAGCCUGGGAAACUGGGUCUAAUUCCCGAUAGGACUGCAGGGUGGUGCCUGUGGUGGAAAACGAUUUUCUAGUGGUUGGGGAUGAGCUCGCGGCCUAUCAGCUUGUUGGUGGGGUAAUGGCCUACCAAGGCGGCGACGGGUAGCCGGCCUGAGAGGGUGGACGGCCACAUUGGGACUGAGAUACGGCCCAGACUCCUACGGGAGGCAGCAGUGGGGAAUAUUGCACAAGGGGCGGAAGCCUGAUGCAGCGACGCCGCGUGGGGGAUGACGGCCUUCGGGUGGUAAACUCCUUUCGACCGCGAGGAAGCCACCUGGUUGGAAGGGUGGUGACGGUAGUGGUAGAAGAAGCACCGGCUAACUACGUG
rnacentral:rRNA from 1 species